UGGGGGAUAUUGCACAAUGGGCGAAAGCCUGAUGCAGCGACGCCGCGUGGGGGAUGAAGGCCUUCGGGUUGUAAACUUCUUUUGCUCUGAACAAGGCGCACCAUGGGGUGUGUUGAGUGUAGGGGUUGAUUAGCGCCGGCUAACUACGUGCCAGCAGCCGCGGUAAUACGUAGGGCGCGAGCGUUGUCCGGAAUUAUUGGUCGUAAAGGGCUUGUAGGUGGCUGGUUGCGUCUGUCGUGAAAGCUCAUGGCUUAACUGUGGGUUUGCGGUGGGUACGGGCUGGCUUGAGUGCAGUAGGGGAGGCGGGAAUUCCUGGUGUAGCGGUGGAAUGCGCAGAUAUCAGGAGGAAUACCGGUGGCGAAGGCGGGUCUCUGGGCUGUUACUGACACUGAGGAGCGAAAGCAUGGGGAGCGAACAGG
rnacentral:rRNA from 1 species